rnacentral:rRNA from 1 species
AUACGUAGGGGGCGAGCGUUGUCCGGAAUGAUUGGGCGUAAAGGGCGCGUAGGCGGCCCGGUAAGUCUGGAGUGAAAGUCCUGUUUUUAAGAUGGGAAUUGCUUUGGAUACUGUCGGGCUUGAGGGCAGGAGAGGUAAGUGGAAUUCCGAGUGUAGCGGUGAAAUGCGUAGAGAUUGGGAGGAACACCAGUGGCGAAGGCGACUUACUGGACUGUAACUGACGCUGAGGCGCGAAAGUGUGGGGAGCAAACAGGAUUAGAUACCCUGGUAGUCCACACUGUAAACGAUGAAUGCUAGGUGUAGGGGGUAUCGACCCCUUCUGUGCCGCAGUCAACACAAUAAGCAUUCCGCCUGGGGAGUACGGCCGCAAGGUUGAAACUCAAAGGAAUUGACGGGG